rnacentral:rRNA from 1 species
UACAGAGGGUGCAAGCGUUAAUCGGAAUUACUGGGCGUAAAGCGUGCGUAGACGGUUACAUAAGUCGGAUGUGAAAGCCCCGGGCUCAACCUGGGAAUUGCAUUCGAGACUGUGUAGCUAGGAUGCGGAAGAGGGAAGCGGAAUUUCCGGUGUAGCGGUGAAAUGCGUAGAUAUCAGGAGGAACACCGGUGGCGAAGGCGGAUCUCUGGGCCUUACCUGACGCUCAGGUGCGAAAGCUAGGGGAGCGAACAGG